rnacentral:lncRNA from 1 species
CCAUGCUGUUUUGGUUACUGUAGCACUGUAGUAUAGUUUGAGGCAUCAGGUAACACAGUGCCUCCAGCACUGUUCUUGGUGCUUAGGACUGCUUUGGCUAUUCAGGCUCUUUUUUGGUUCCAUAUGAAUUUUAAAAUAGUUUUUUUUCUAGUUCUGUGAAGAGUGUCAUUGGUAGUUUGAUGGGAAUAGCACUGAAUCUGUAAAUUGCGUUGGGCAGUAUGCCCAUUUUAAUAAUAUCGGUCCUUCCCGUCCAUGAGCAUGGGAAGUUUUUCCAUUUGUUUGUGUCUUCUCUGAUUUCUUUGAGCAGUGUUUUGUAAUUCUCAUUGUAGAGAUCUUUCACCUCCCUGAUUAGCUGUAUCUUAGGUAUUUUAUCCUUUUUUCUGGCAAUUGUGAAUGGAAUUGCCUUUCUGAUUUGGCUCCUGGCUUGGCUGUUGUUGGUGUAUAGAAAUGCUAGUGAUUUUUGUACAUUGAUUUUGUAUCCUGAAACUUUGCUGUAGUUGCUUAUUAGUGAAAGGAGCUUUUGGGCUGAGACUAUUGGGUUUUUCAGGAUGUAGAAUCAUGUUUGUCUGCAAACAGAAUAGUUUGAUAUCCACUUUUCCUGUUUGGAUGCCCUUUAUUUCUUUCUCUUGCUUGAUUGUUCUGGCUAGGACUUCCAGUACUAUCUUGAAUAGGAGUGAUGAGAGAGGGAAUUCUUGUCUUGUACUGAUUUUUAAGGAGAAUGCUUUCAGCUUUUGCCCAUUCAGUAUAAUGUUGGCUGUGGGUUUGUCAUAGAUGGCUCUCAUUAUUUUGAAGUAUGUUCCUUCAAUACCUAGUUUAUUGGGAGUUUUUAAUAUGAAGUGGUGUUGAAUUUUAUUGAAAGCCUUUUCUGCAUCUAUUGAGAUAACCAUAUGGUUUUUGUCUGUACUUUUGUUUAUGUGAUUAAUCACAUUUAUUGAUUUGUGUAUGUUGAACCAACUUUGAAUCCCAGGAUGAAACCUACUUGAUUGUGGUGGAUUAGCUUUUUGAUGUGCGCUGGAUUCAGUUUGCAAGUAUUUUGUUGAGGAUUUUUGCAUCAAUAUUCAUCAAGGAUAUUGGCCUGCAGUUUUCUUUUUUGUUUUAUGUCUCUGACAGGUUUUGGUAUCAGGAUUAUGCUGGCCUCAUAGAAUGAGUUGAGGAGGAGUCCCACCUCCUUAAUUUUUUGGAAUAAUUUCUAUAGGAAUGAUACCAGCUCUUCUUUGUACAUCUGGUAGAAUUUGGCUGUGAAUCCAUCAGGUCCAGGGCUUUUUUUGGUUGGUAGGCUACUUAUUACUGAUUCAGUUUUGGAGCUUGUUAUUAGUCUGUUCAGGGAAUCAAUUUCUUUCUGAUUCAGUCUUGGGAGGAUAUAUGUGUCCAAGAAUUUAUCCAUCUCUUCUACAUUUUCUAGUUUGUGUGCAUAGAGGUAUUCGUAGUAGUUUCUGAUGGUUAGUUUUAUUUCUUUGUGGUCAGUGGUAACAUUCCCAUCAUCAUUUCUGAUUGUUUUAUUUGGAUCUUCUCUCUUUUCUCCUUUAUUAGUCCAG